CAACCACCAAGGCAUUAAGGAUGAAGAUGAGUGGAAAGAAUUUGAGCAAAAAGAGGUUGAUUACAGUGGCCUCAGAGUUCAGGCAAUGCCAAUAAGUGAAAAGGAAGAAGAUAACGAGAAAAGAGAAGAUCCAGGUGAUAACUGGGAAGAAGGUGGAGUAUGGAAAGAGC